UACGUAGGGCGCAAGCGUUGUCCGGAAUUAUUGGGCGUAAAGAGCUCGUAGGCGGUUUGUCGCGUCUGCUGUGAAAACCUAAGGCUCAACCUUGGGCUUGCAGUGGGUACGGGCAGACUAGAGUGCGGUAGGGGUGACUGGAAUUCCUGGUGUAGCGGUGGAAUGCGCAGAUAUCAGGAGGAACACCGAUGGCGAAGGCAGGUCACUGGGCCGCAACUGACGCUGAGGAGCGAAAGCAUGGGGAACAAACAGG
rnacentral:rRNA from 1 species